AACGAACGCUGGCGGCAGGCUUAACACAUGCAAGUCGAACGCCCCGCAAGGGGAGUGGCAGACGGGUGAGUAACGCGUGGGAAUCUACCGUACCCUACGGAACAACAGUUGGAAACGACUGCUAAUACCGUAUACGCCCUACGGGGGAAAGAUUUAUCGGGGUAUGAUGAGCCCGCGUUGGAUUAGCUAGUUGGUGGGGUAAAGGCCUACCAAGGCGACGAUCCAUAGCUGGUCUGAGAGGAUGAUCAGCCACAUUGGGACUGAGACACGGCCCAAACUCCUACGGGAGGCAGCAGUGGGGAAUAUUGGACAAUGGGCGCAAGCCUGAUCCAGCCAUGCCGCGUGAGUGAUGAAGGUCUUAGGAUUGUAAAGCUCUUUCACCGAUGAAGAUAAUGACGGUAGUCGGAGAAGAAGCCCCGGCUAACUUCGUGCCAGCCGCCGCAGUAA
rnacentral:rRNA from 1 species